GCAGCGCUGCAGCCAUCCUCUUGGACUUGCCCCUGUCCUGGGCAGCGGCUGGCACUGGACAUGGGAAGGUCUGAGCAGAGACGCCUCCCCCUCCACCCUCGGUGGCUGAGCAGGAACUGGCAACAGAGAUGCGGGGGAGGGACCAUCUGUCUCUGAGGGAGCUGGGUCGCCAAGCGUGUCACACAAGAGGGACUGACCUCGGGCCGGUCUGGACGUCGGGUCUGGGAAGGAAGGAAGCUGCAUGUAUAACACCCUGAGGUGCUCCUGCUAGUGUUCUCAACAGAGGUCUUUGCCAGCAGCGGACUCGACCACUGAAGCAGAAAGACCCUGCGGUUGCCCAAGGGUGCCACGGAGGAAGCCCCAAGAGAACCUGGGUCCUAAGGAGAUGAGGUCUGAGAAGGGCUGGGCCGCGCCUGCCCUCCCACACGUGCCACUGCAUGAACGUCCUACGUGUGCAAAUCCGUCUCCACUACCGUUAAUCCAAGGUUAUUUAUGUCAACAGGAAACUUGCCCAUGACCCUCACUGAAACACAGCCUCUGCUGAAGUCCACUGAGGAGAGUUCGGCCCACAUGGCAAAGCCAGGUGCCCACAGCACCCCGGCAGCCAGCCACGCGGCCCAGGGGCUCCCCCUUCAGCUCAGGGCUUCGGAAGCUCUGCUUCACCCUUCCAGCCUCUUCCUGCUGGCCGAGUGGGUGUGCAGGGCGGGAAGGUGGGGCGUCCGUGGAACACAGACAGUUCUCACUCUAGAGCCUUCUGCGGAGGCACCGUGGGAAGAUGUGGGAUUUCUGCUGCCACUCUCACUGGGAGAAGUCUUCCUGAAGUAGAAGGGCUCACGCGCUCCCGUGAGAGAAGGAAGGCCAUACCUCUCUUCCUCACAGAAAGCACUAGAGACCUUGCAGAUGAAAAGGUGCUCGCCUCUCCUGGAACACGUUCCCAGCGUCACCCUCAUCCAGGCGGGGCCCCUCCGAAGCCUGGCUGGCUAAAGCUUUGCCUCCACGCCGGUGCAACCCCACCUCCUCCCACCCUCACCCCCAGUCACGGGCCAAGGACGUGGCCAGUGACCCGUCAGGAGCGGCUCCUUCAGCAAGCGGACACAAGAGGAGCCCUGUGAUUGCCUCGCCUCGUGAAAUAGCCAUCAGGUGCUUCAGCGACCAGGUGGGAAAGGCCAGGUGCAGAGCCAGGUGACCCCGCGUCACA